rnacentral:rRNA from 1 species
UGUAGCAAGGUUAACCGUAUAGGGGAGCCGAAGGGAAACCGAGUCUUAACUGGGCGUUAAGUUGCAGGGUAUAGACCCGAAACCCGGUGAUCUAGCCAUGGGCAGGUUGAAGGUUGGGUAACACUAACUGGAGGACCGAACCGACUAAUGUUGAAAAAUUAGCGGAUGACCUGUGGCUGGGGGUGAAAGGCCAAUCAAACCGGGAGAUAGCUGGUUCUCCCCGAAAGCUAUUUAGGUAGCGCCUCGUGAACUCAUCUUCGGGGGUAGAGCACUGUUUCGGCUAGGGGGCCAUCCCGGCUUACCAACCCGAUGCAAACUACGAAUACCGAAGAAUGUUAUCACGGGAGACACACGGCGGGUGCUAACGUCCGUCGUGAAGAGGGAAACAACCCAGACCGCCAGCUAAGGUCCCAAAGUCAUGGUUAAGUGGGAAACGAUGUGGGAAGGCACAGACAGCCAGGAUGUUGGCUUAGAAGCAGCCAUCAUUUAAAGAAAGCGUAAUAGCUCACUGGUCGAGUCGGCCUGCGCGGAAGAUGUAACGGGGCUAAACCAUGCACCGAAGCUGCGGCAGCGACACUAUGUGUUGUUGGGUAGGGGAGCGUUCUGUAAGCCGUUGAAGGUGUGCUGUGAGGCAUGCUGGAGGUAUCAGAAGUGCGAAUGCUGACAUAAGUAACGAUAAAGCGGGUGAAAAGCCCGCUCGCCGGAAGACCAAGGGUUCCUGUCCAACGUUAAUCGGGGCAGGGUGAGUCGACCCCUAAGGCGAGGCCGAAAGGCGUAGUCGAUGGGAAACAGGUUAAUAUUCCUGUACUUGGUGUUACUGCGAAGGGGGGACGGAGAAGGCUAUGUCAGCCGGGCGACGGUUGUCCCGGUUUAAGCAUGUAGGCGGAGGUUCCAGGUAAAUCCGGUACCUUUUAACGCUGAGGUGUGAUGACGAGGCACUACGGUGCUGAAGUGAUAAAUGCCCUGCUUCCAGGAAAAGCCUCUAAGCAUCAGGUAACACGAAAUCGUACCCCAAACCGACACAGGUGGUCAGGUAGAGAAUACCAAGGCGCUUGAGAGAACUCGGGUGAAGGAACUAGGCAAAAUGGUGCCGUAACUUCGGGAGAAGGCACGCUGAUAKGUAGGUGAAGUCCCUGCGGACGGAGCUGAAAUCAGUCGAAGAUACCAGCUGGCUGCAACUGUUUAUUAAAAACACAGCACUGUGCAAACACGAAAGUGGACGUAUACGGUGUGACGCCUGCCCGGUGCCGGAAGGUUAAUUGAUGGGGUUAGCGGCAACGCGAAGCUCUUGAUCGAAGCCCCGGUAAACGGCGGCCGUAACUAUAACGGUCCUAAGGUAGCGAAAUUCCUUGUCGGGUAAGUUCCGACCUGCACGAAUGGCGUAAUGAUGGCCAGGCUGUCUCCACCCGAGACUCAGUGAAAUUGAACUCGCUGUGAAGAUGCAGUGUACCCGCGGCAAGACGGAAAGACCCCGUGAACCUUUACUAUAGCUUGACACUGAACACUGGUCCUUGAUGUGUAGGAUAGGUGGGAGGCUUUGAAGCGUGGACGCCAGUCYGCGUGGAGCCRYCCUUGAAAUACCACCCUUUAAUGGCUGGUGUUCUAACGUAGACCCGURAUCCGGGUUGCGGACAGUGUCUGGUGGGUAGUUUGACUGGGGCGGUCUCCUCCCAAAGAGUAACGGAGGAGCACGAAGGUUGGCUAAUCCUGGUCGGACAUCAGGAGGUUAGUGCAAUGGCAUAAGCCAGCUUGACUGCGAGCGUGACGGCGCGAGCAGGUGCGAAAGCAGGUCAUAGUGAUCCGGUGGUUCUGAAUGGAAGGGCCAUCGCUCAACGGAUAAAAGGUACUCCGGGGAUAACAGGCUGAUACCGCCCAAGAGUUCAUAUCGACGGCGGUGUUUGGCACCUCGAUGUCGGCUCAUCACAUCCUGGGGCUGAAGUAGGUCCCAAGGGUAUGGCUGUUCGCCAUUUAAAGUGGUACGCGAGCUGGGUUUAGAACGUCGUGAGACAGUUCGGUCCCUAUCUGCCGUGGGCGCUGGAGAAUUGAGGGGGGCUGCUCCUAGUACGAGAGGACCGGAGUGGACGCAUCACUGGUGUUCGGGUUGUCAUGCCAAUGGCACUGCCCGGUAGCUAAAUGCGGAAGAGAUAAGUGCUGAAAGCAUCUAAGCACGAAACUUGCCCCGAGAUGAGUUCUCCCUGAGACUUUAAGUCUCCUGAAGGAACGUUGAAGACGACGACGUUGAUAGGUCGGGUGUGUAAGCGCAGCGAUGCGUUGAGCUAACCGAUACUAAUGAACCGUGAGGCUUAACCUU